rnacentral:rRNA from 1 species
CCUACGGGAGGCAGCAGUGGGGGAUAUUGGACAAUGGGGGAAACCCUGAUCCAGCGACGCCGCGUGAGUGAAGAAGUAUUUCGGUACGUAAAGCUCUAUCAGCAGGGAAGAAAGAAAUGACGGUACCUGAGUAAGAAGCCCCGGCUAACUACGUGCCAGCAGCCGCGGUAAUACGUAGGGGGCAAGCGUUAUCCGGAAUUACUGGGUGUAAAGGGAGCGUAGACGGUAAUGCAAGUCUGGAGUGAAAGGCGGGGGCCCAACCCCCGGACUGCUCUGGAAACUGUGUAACUGGAGUGCAGGAGAGGCAGGCGGAAUUCCUAGUGUAGCGGUGAAAUGCGUAGAUAUUAGGAGGAACACCAGUGGCGAAGGCGGCCUGCUGGACUGUAACUGACGUUGAGGCUCGAAAGCGUGGGGAGCAAACAGGAUUAGAUACCCCUGUAGUC